AAUAAUUUGUAUAACAUGUCAGGAAAGUAAACGAUAUUAUUCUUCAUGAAUUGGUUUUUUCACUAUUCUUAAGCUAAAAAAACACCUAUUUGUCCUCCAAAGACUACCAUAUUAGAUCCACAGGACUCGAAGCAUGUUAAGACUGUGACAAUAUGGUCUUAAGGCUUCAGGCUCAAAUCAUGGUAAACCAAAAUGUAAGCGGCCGGUUGAAAAAGUAGCAGAGUCGAAAAUGGAAAUUAAUGAGCUGCAGAAGCAAAUUUUAGAAGAAUAAUUCACUUCUUUUUUGUCGUAUCCUUGUGGCUGAGGGACGUGACGAAUGAGGACACUCUUUACCGGUGCUUGCUAGCCUGCAGUGGUCUUUGUCAGAGACGUUAUUGUGUCUGCCCAAUGUGUGCCCAUGUGUGCACUUCUUCGCUUCCUUGCCAUGCAUCCCGUGAUUGUGAGAAGAAUAAUAUGCUAAUAAAAACCAACAAUGGGCCAUCGAAGAACAGGAAAGGGCAUGUGGGCCUUAGAGAAAGAGUUGUUAAUGUGAAGACUAAAUAAAUUCAACAAAUAAAAUCUCAACUAUAAUACUGUCUUUGGUACACCCGCUACCAUCGCGUCCAAUAGUCAAAGUGCAGUUCAGUGUAAGCAAAGACAGUGUACAAGAUAUACCACUCACCUACGGCAUUAGUGUUACUAGACUACAUUAAUAUGUAAAGACUAUUUGUCUAAACUUGUGUAUAGCUCUGUGUUGUCUUAAUAAAUCCUAUUGGAAACGC